AAUAUUGUAUAUUUCCACUAACAAGUAGAAGAAUGUGUGGGAUUUAGUUGUCACGGUGACCGUGUACAGUAAACCGUGUAUUUUCCUCUCCGCUGUCUUCACCUGAAACAACACGCUGCGGAUGAUGCUGUGGCAGGCAACAAGCUUGAGUGAGGCAUGAUGCUUUUCUACUAUGCGAAAACUAUAUUCAUGAUACCAACAGUUCCAUGGGCAACAAUACGAAGACACAGACGUAGAAACCGUUCUAAAAGGACAUGCAUCUACGAUGUAUCCUCUCUACAACAGGCAAUAUGAGGGAUUUACAGGGGAUGACAAUGAGAUGAGGGACAGCAUUCAUAGAAGAACAUGUCACAGCUCUUUCAGCUACUCAUCUUUUGAUGAUGAAGAGGAGGAGGAGUUGGAGGAUGAAGAACAGGUGAAGGCACCUGUGGAGGAGGAGUGUUCCCACAAGAGUGAAGAUGUGUCACGUGUUUCUCCACUACCCAGAACCACCCAGGUGGUAUUUGAGAUCCAGUCGGGAAGGGCUGUGCCUCGCCUCAGGGAGCCCCGACACCUGUAUGGUGUGUCUGGACAUGUGUCCCAAACACUGCCACGCUGGCCCCACGAGUGGGAGGUCAUCCCGGGGGAAAUUCAGCAUAUUGAGUGGGUUCCUCCCUUCCCAGAGCCGCUGUGUGCUCAGAUGAACACCAGCGAGUGGCUGAGACCGGAGUCUGAAGAGGAAGGCACCGUUGUGUAUGACACACAGAGAGAUAAAGAUAACUACUUCCUGGGUUCUCGUGUGGGGGGCCGUCGCUCCUCCCUGACCGCUGCUGCUGUGUCUCUCUCUGGCCCUGAUGACAUCACUCUGCUGUUCGAGGGACGCUUCGAGAGUGGCAACCUGCUGAAAGCAACAAGGGUUGGUGAAUUUGAUUAUGAGCUCUCCCUGCGGACGGACCUGUACACAGAGAAGCACACUCAGUGGUUUUACUUCCGGGUGAGGAACACGAGGGCGGGGGUUCGUUACCGCUUCACCAUCACCAACCUGCUGAAGGUGACCAGUCUGUAUGAAGAUGGGCAGCUGCCACUGCUCUAUUCUGAGGAGGAGGCCCGGAUCCAGGGGGUGGGCUGGCACCGCGUGGGCCAACAGGUCUCUUACCAACGUAACGGACGGCAGCAUGCCAACCAGCCCUGCUACUCCCUCUCCUGGACCUUUUGCUUCCCUUAUGACCAGGACACCUGUUACCUGGCCCACUGCUUCCCUUACACCUACUCCAACCUGUGGGCCCACCUGUCCGAGAUCGAGCGGGACCCCCACCGCUCGCGGUUCUGUAAGGUGCGGACUCUGUGCCGGUCGCUGGCGGGGAACCUGGUUCCGGUGCUGACGGUGACCAACCCAUCCCACCGUGAGGACAGGAUUCACAAGCCUGCUGUGGUGCUGACCGCCCGGAUACACCCCGGGGAGACCAACAGCUCCUGGGUGAUGAGGGGUAUCCUGAACUUCCUGCUGGGAGACUCUCCAGACGCGGCGCUGCUCCGAGAUGCCUUCGUCUUCAAGCUGGUGCCCAUGCUGAACCCGGACGGGGUUAUAGUAGGUAACUACCGCUGCUCGCUGACCGGACGUGACCUCAACCGCAACUACAAGUCCAUCCUCAGAGACUCCUUCCCUACCGUGUGGGCCACGCACACCAUGGUCCAGAGACUGUGUGAGGAACGAAAGGUGCUGCUGUACUGUGAUCUCCAUGGACACAGCCGUAAACACAAUGUCUUCACCUACGGCUGUGAGAACCCCCGGUCCGCUGACAGACGCCCUCACGAACGAGUCUUCCCUCUGAUGCUCAGCAAGAAUUGCCCUGACAUGUUCUCGUUCGGGAGCUGUAAGUUCAAGGUACAGCGCAGUAAAGAGGGAACAGGCAGAGUGUCUCUGUGGAGGCUGGGGGUCCUCAACUCCUUCACCCUGGAGACAUCGUUCUGUGGCUCCAACAUCGGUAAGAGGAAGGGGACCCAUUUCAGCACUCAGGAUCUAGAGAUGUUGGGGGCUCAGUUCUGUGACACACUACUGGACUACUGUGACCCGGACCGGACAAAGUACAGCGCGUGUUUGAGAGAGCUACAGGAGAUUAUGAGACAGGAGGCAGGUCUGCCAAUAGACAACGAGCCUACAGAUACCUCGCUGACCGACCACGAGGCCAGCACCAGUGGAUCCAACAGCUCCCAGACGGACGGACCUCCUACUCACCUCCAGGCCUUCAACAAGAUGACGUCCCGUAAGAAGCUGAAGUCCAAGAAGGAGAGGAACAGAUCUCCCCUGGUCAGAGCCAGGGAGAGAGAGGAAAAUGGGGAUAAUGGUGUCAAAAAGACGUUGAAGAAAAGCAAAUAUGUACUGAAGCCUUUAAAGGCUCCUCCAGCAGUGCCCAGGAGGGAACCUCCAAAAUGGAGGGAGAGACAGCUGGUCCCCCCUGAGCCCAGUCCUCCAGAUAAGAAGGUAUCUGUCCUAUACCUUGUCUUUGACACCAAGAAGCCGGCCAUGACAUCGAAGUCGGAGUACCUGCAGCACCUGAUGGCUGAUUAUGUGAGGAGCAGGAUGCAGUUGACCCUCAAUGGCUAUGACUGGGGUCCUUGCCAGUGCCCCCAGGCCAUCCGCCUGCCACACUCACAGCUGCCCCGGGACAACAGAGACGGGGGGCGACUACCCGGCCUGGCUAACCUGCCUGCAGGAGACAAGUCCAUCAGAAGGCUCUCCCCAGUCCAGUGGAGAGGAUCCACAUCCUACACUGCCCCAUCCAGCCUGCAACUCCCACCCAACAGUCAGGGGAAGUGCAGCACAGCUCAGGGACACCAGUGUAAGUGCCGGCUGUGGUACGGUCUAGGUCUGAAGGAGGACAGAGCUGGGAGGACAACAACAGGACUCAGGAAGACCAAGGAUAUCAGUGACAGCCACUAGAAAAUACAUGGCCUUUAUUCUCCACAGACAGACCUCACACAGUAACCCUAGCUCUACCUGUCCAAGAUCACUCAUUAAACGUGCUGUCAUUUGUGUGUUGUAAUCAUGUUUACAAGCUUUAUCUGUUGUUGUCUUGUUUAAUUUCACCCAGUUUAGUAUCUUAAAGGAUUACCUCAAAUAGACAGUCAAAUAUCCACCAACAAACGCCUGUUUGAUAUGUUACUCCUCUCACAUUAAGAUACUCUUAGAGUACUCUAGUACAAUACACUCUCCAAGAGUCAGUCGUACAAAGAGGUAAACCUACAGUUGGACAGACACCAGAUUGUCCCCAUAGUCCUAACAAAAACGGCUAACACAACAAAGGCUGUUAUCCGUACACACAUUGUCACACAAGAUAAAACAUAGAUGGCGGUUGUCCAAGGUGAGUGAAGAGUUAGGAGGUACAGGUACAUUACAGGAGGCUGAGGAUGAAACAAACUGACAUUUAUUAACACAGCUGUACACAUUUCAUCAACAGUAUAUUCACUACCAUGUUGUGACAUGCAGGGUUGGGGUCAAUUCCAUUUCAAUUGAGGAAAUAAGCAUGAAAAUCCGAUUCCAAUUCUCCCUUUGUUUUUCACUUAAUUUUACUUCCUGAAUAUUUCCUAAAUUAAAAUUGAAUUGAUCCCAACCCUGGUGACAUGCCAAACCAUUUUUCCUUAGGAUGGAUGUAUUGAAUCUCUGUUCGUAGAUUCCCUCCACUGCCUCCGGUUCCUGUAAGGGAGUUUGUCUCUGAGCCCGAGGAGCUACCCAGCAUGUCAGCAGGGAUGGAAUGGCUGUUUCUGCGACCACCCUGCCCCAUAUUCACCCACCUGGGGACCGACUCAGACUCAGGAGCCUGUUUCCAAAGCACAUGUCAUUCUGAUCCGGCAAGAAUGAAACACAAAAAGAAGAAGCGGAAAGUAACUGAAGAAAUUAAAAGAAACAGAUCGGUACAUCAUCAACACAACAAGACCACAUCAGGAACCUCACCGAUGAA